rnacentral:rRNA from 1 species
UAGGGAAUCUUCGGCAAUGGGGGGAACCCUGACCGAGCAACGCCGCGUGAGUGAAGAAGGUUUUCGGAUCGUAAAGCUCUGUUGUUAAGGAAGAACGAGUGUGAGAAUGGAAAGUUCAUGCUGUGACGGUACUUAACCAGAAAGGGACGGCUAACUACGUGCCAGCAGCCGCGGUAAUACGUAGGUCCCGAGCGUUUUCCGGAUUUAUUGGGCGUAAAGCGAGCGCAGGCGGUUAGAAAAGUCUGAAGUGAAAGGCAGUGGCUCAACCAUUGUAGGCUUUGGAAACUGUUUAACUUUGGUGCAGAAGGGGUGAGUGGAAUUCCAGGUGUAGCGGUGAAAUGCGUAGAUAUAUGGAGGAACACCGGUGGCGAAAGCGGCUCUCUGGUCUGUAACUGACGCUGAGGCUCGAAAGCGUGGGGAGCGAACAGG